CAUCAGGUCUCCAAGGUGAAC
rnacentral:snRNA from 1 species